rnacentral:tRNA from 1 species
GCCGAGGUAGCUCAACGGCAGAGCAGAGGUUUUGUAAACCUCAGGUUAGGGGUUCAAGUCCCCUCCUCGGCU